rnacentral:rRNA from 1 species
GAUGAACGCUGGCGGCGUGCCUAAUACAUGCAAGUCGAGCGAAAAGACGAGGAGCUUGCUCCUCUGACGUUAGCGGCGGACGGGUGAGUAACACGUGGAUAACCUACCUAUAAGACUGGGAUAACUUCGGGAAACCGGAGCUAAUACCAGAUAAUAUAUUGAACCGCAUGGUUCAAUAGUGAAAGACGGUUUUGCUGUCACUUAUAGAUGGAUCCGCGCCGGAUUAGCUAGUUGGUAAGGUAACGGCUUACCAAGGCAACGAUGCGUAGCCGAGCUGAGAGGAUGAUCGGCCACACUGGAACUGAGACACGGUCCAGACUCCUACGGGAGGCAGCAGUGGGGAAUAUUCGGCAAUGGGCGAAAGCCUGACGCAGCCAUGCCGCGUGAGUGAAGAAGGCCUUCGGGUUGUAAAGCCCUGUUGUUGGGGAAGAAAAGCUGCAGAAUAAACCCCCGCCGUUUUGACGGUACCUAAACAGUAAGCAACGGCUAACUUCGUG